GAUGAACGCUGGCGGCGUGCCUAAUACAUGCAAGUCGAGCGAACAGACGAGGAGCUUGCUCCUCUGACGUUAGCGGCGGACGGGUGAGUAACACGUGGAUAACCUACCUAUAAGACUGGGAUAACUUCGGGAAACCGGAGCUAAUACCGGAUAAUAUAUUGAACCGCAUGGUUCAACAGUGAAAGAAGGUUUUGCUGUCACUUAUAGAUGGACACGCGCCGCAUUAGCUAGUUGGUAAGGUAACGGCUUACCAAGGCAACGAUGCGUAGCCGACCUGAGUGGGUGAUCGUACACACUGGAACUGAGACACGGUCCAGACUCCUGCGGGAGGCAGCAGUAUGGAAUCUUCCGCAAUGGGCGAAAGCCUGACGGAGCAACGCCGCGUGAGUGAUGAAGGUCUUCGGAUCGUAAAAAUCUGUUAUCAGGGAAGAACAAAUGUGUAAGUAACUAUGCACGUCUUGACGGUACCUAAUCAGAAAGCCACGGCUAACUACGUG
rnacentral:rRNA from 1 species